rnacentral:rRNA from 1 species
AACGCUAGCUACAGGCUUAACACAUGCAAGUCGAGGGGCAGCAUUUUAGUUUGCUUGCAAACUGAAGAUGGCGACCGGCGCACGGGUGAGUAACACGUAUCCAACCUGCCGAUAACUCCGGAAUAGCCUUUCGAAAGAAAGAUUAAUACCGGAUGGCAUACGAAUAUCGCAUGAUAUUUUUAUUAAAGAAUUUCGGUUAUCGAUGGGGAUGCGUUCCAUUAGUUUGUUGGCGGGGUAACGGCCCACCAAGACAACGAUGGAUAGGGGUUCUGAGAGGAAGGUCCCCCACAUUGGGAACUGAGACACGGUCCAAACUCCUACCGGAGGCAGCAGUGAGGAAUAUUGGGUCAAUGGGCGAGAGCCUGAACCACCCAAGUAGCGUGAAGGAUGAAGGCUCUAUGGGUCGUAAACUUCUUUUAUAUGGGAAUAAAGUAUUCCACGUGUGGAAUUUGUAUGUACCAUAUGACAUAAGGAUCGGCUAACUCCGUGCCAGCAGCCGCGGUAAUACGGAGGAUCCGAGCGUUAUCCGGAUUUAUUGGGUUUAAAGGGAGCGUAGGUGGAUUGUUAAGUCAGUUGUGAAAGUUUGCGGCUCAACCGUAAAAUUGCAGUUGAAACUGGCAGUCUUGAGUACAGUAGAGGUGGGCGGAAUUCGUGGUGUAGCGGUGAAAUGCUUAGAUAUCACGAAGAACUCCGAUUG